GACGAACGCUGGCGGCGUGCCUAAUACAUGCAAGUAGAACGCUGAAGCGAGGAGCUUGCUCUUCUUGGAUGAGUUGCGAACGGGUGAGUAACGCGUAGGUAACCUGCCUUGUAGCGGGGGAUAACUAUUGGAAACGAUAGCUAAUACCGCAUAACAAUGGGUGACACAUGUCAUUUAUUUGAAAGGGGCAAUUGCUCCACUACAAGAUGGACCUGCGUUGUAUUAGCUAGUAGGUGAGGUAAUGGCUCACCUAGGCGACGAUACAUAGCCGACCUGAGAGGGUGAUCGGCCACACUGGGACUGAGACACGGCCCAGACUCCUACGGGAGGCAGCAGUAGGGAAUCUUCGGCAAUGGGGGCAACCCUGACCGAGCAACGCCGCGUGAGUGAAGAAGGGUUUCGGAUCGUAAAGCUCUGUUGUAAGUCAAGAACGGGUGUGAGAGUGGAAAGUUCACACUGUGACGGUAGCUUACCAGAAAGAGACGGCUAACUACGUG
rnacentral:rRNA from 1 species